AGCUCUAGUAGUGUAUGAACAUAGUAAGUUGUAAACUUAAAGAUGCUUCGGCCUGGGUUA
rnacentral:tRNA from 1 species